rnacentral:rRNA from 1 species
GGGAGGCAGCAGUGGGGAAUCUUGCACAAUGGGCGAAAGCCUGAUGCAGCCAUGCCGCGUGAAUGAUGAAGGCCUUAGGGUUGUAAAAUUCUUUCGCUAGGGAUGAUAAUGACAGUACCUAGUAAAGAAGCCCCGGCUAACUUCGUGCCAGCAGCCGCGGUAAUACGAAGGGGGCUAGCGUUGUUCGGAAUUACUGGGCGUAAAGCGCGCGUAGGCGGACUGGAAAGUUGGGGGUGAAAUCCCAGGGCUCAACCCUGGAACUGCCUCCAAAACUAUCAGUCUAGAGUUCGAGAGAGGUGAGUGGAAUUCCGAGUGUAGAGGUGAAAUUCGUAGAUAUUCGGAAGAACACCAGUGGCGAAGGCGGCUCACUGGCUCGAUACUGACGCUGAGGUGCGAAAGUGUGGGGAGCAAACAGGAUUAGAUACCCUGGUAGUCCACACCGUAAACGAUGAAUGCCAGUCGUCGGGUAGCAUGCUAUUCGGUGACACACCUAACGGAUUAAGCAUUCCGCCUGGGGAGUACGGUCGCAAGAUUAAAACUCAA